CAACAUGGACACAUUUAUUAACAUCCCGCAUGAAUUUGUGUCGUCUUUACAAUUUUUUGCGCUGAAUUUGUAUGCUUAUUAAUACUGCCGCAUGAUAUCAGUAGCUGCUAUAAAACUAGAGUGUAUAGCAUGUGUAUUAUACGAUGUUUCCCACGUAAAAAUCGCAGGUUGUUUUGGUGCGGCUGGGCACUCUACUGGUGAUUGACACCAGAGACUGAGAAAAACUUUGACAUAAUUUUCAAGUUUGAUAUGACCUAAUAACUACCACAUUUACAGGAAGUAUGGUAAUACAUUCUUGUCAGCUGUCUGGGCAAAUCUUCUCUCGCAGAAUUGGAUUAAAAUUUAAUGUAUUUUAUUUCUCACUUCCAACGAUGUCGCAAUUAUUAGGCAGCUAUCAAGUCUCAAGAUAUGACAUAAUUUGAUAGAAUGUUAGUACCAACGCUAUCAGUGCAUUGAAGUCGAGUUCUCGAUACAGGGAGCUGCUGGUAAACUACCGUCGCUAUACAUCGACUAUGACUACAAUCUUACUUUUAAAAACAAACUACAUACAUAUCUCACAUUUGCGAGGACUACUUCAUCACAAGCAAAAAAUCGACAUUGGUAAAUAAAGGUCUGUCUUCUAUAACCACGAUGAAAAGAAAAGCUGGGCGAAAACAUUUGAGACUGCAGAUUGCAGAACUGGAACACUCUAUUUGAAGACAGUGGCUGCUGAGUGCUGAGCUGCAUCAAAUCUAUCAGCAUCAUGUAACUUCGAUCAGGAACAGACUCCAUUUCAUUUCCGACAACU